ensembl:lncRNA
AACCUUUUCAACAGUUCAACAACAAGAUACCUACACAUUGGGUAUUGCAACUGGAUUGGUUUUAAGACAGCUAUGACCACCACUCUGCAUGGAAAUAUUCACCGAGUCAACAAGUUUACUCGUUUAAGUGAUGGCUCUGUGGGCAGGACUGAAGUGGGGAGCAGCAUAUAGGGCAGCAGCUGCAAGUCAUGUUUCGAAGAGCCCACUGGGAGUAUCCUGCAAAAGAAGACAAACUUUAGGCUUUGCAUGAGCAGCAGAAGAGCUCUCAGUCGCUGGAAAUGUUCAAGCCCGGGUCCUGGAAUAUAAGCAACCUCAUGAAGUUUGGUAUCUCCCGGCCUUUCUGUCAGCUCAGGUUGGCCUUUUACUGCCCUUUAUGUGUGUGACAAGUGAAAAGAGAAAAAGAAAAGAAACUCGAGUGAAGAAAACCAGCAUCUGCACAGCAGUUUGAAGGUGGUGUCCAGCCAAUUCCCACUCAACCUGCCUCAUCAAGCCCCCAGCAUUCACCUCUUUGCUCAUCUCACAGUCCACAUGUGUGACAGGCCCACAAUUCCUUUCUCAGAGCAGAGCCUCUCCCACACUUCCGGUUGUCACCCCCAACUUAGAUAUUCAGUCAAUACCUGGGGACCUGAGCUGCUUCACCUGGGAGCCAAGCUGAACUCUGAUUCCACAGCCCUCACACCCGGCAACAAUACCAAAAGAAAGUAGAUGCCGCUUGGAAAUCUCUCUCCUAGAACUUGGUUCUCAUAAUUCCCCCAAGAAAUCAGCAUGUGACUGCUCACCUCUCCAGGGAACUGAAACAGUCAACUCAGCUACUUAGAUCAACUUUAAAAAUCCCCACCCGGACCGUAUUAAAUCAUUUUGGCUGGGACGAUGAAAUAACUGACUUGUUGGCAGUUUCUUGGACUAUCUGUAGACACGGGGAAAAAAUACUUUUAAUCAGGUCAAGUCACUCUGCCUUUUGGAUUCGAAAUUUAGCAAUAUUCUGAAUGAAAACUAUUCAGUUAUAGCGAGGAAAAUAUGAUUAUUCUUUUUAGUUCAGUAAGCAACCAAGAGUUUGUUCUUCAAAUUUUAACAUUUAAUUGAUCAGAAAUUAUUUUUGGAAGACUGGUUCCUGUGAAGCCACCUCUACCCGUAGGAUUUUUCUUUAAACAUCUGGACUAUAGAAGGAAAUUUACAGCCUGGACUUUCACUGACCAUGGAUUCUCACCUGAGUCUUACACCCAACACAAGCUGUUAAUGCUACUUCUUCCUUGUGGGCCCUACCAGCUAUGUAGAUUUGUUAAAAUGAAAUAUUAAGCAUCUUUUAUUUUCUUUGCCUUUAAUUAUAUGAUCCCCUC